rnacentral:rRNA from 1 species
CAGCCGCCGCGGUAACACAGAGGGUGCGAGCGUUAAUCGGAUUUACUGGGCGUAAAGCGUGCGUAGGCGGCUUCUUAAGUCGGAUGUGAAAUCCCUGAGCUUAACUUAGGAAUUGCAUUCGAUACUGGGAAGCUAGAGUAUGGGAGAGGAUGGUAGAAUUCCAGGUGUAGCGGUGAAAUGCGUAGAGAUCUGGAGGAAUACCGAUGGCGAAGGCAGCCAUCUGGCCUAAUACUGACGCUGAGGUACGAAAGCAUGGGGAGCAAACAGGAUUAGAUACCCCUGUAGUCCCUGUCUCUUAUAA